UACGGGGGGGAGCAAGCGUUGUUCGGAUUUACUGGGCGUAAAGGGCGCGUAGGCGGUCAGCACAAGUCAGUUGUGAAAUCUCCGGGCUUAACUCGGAAAGGUCAACUGAUACUGUGCGACUAGAGUGCGGAAGGGGCAACUGGAAUUCUCGGUGUAGCGGUGAAAUGCGUAGAUAUCGAGAGGAACACCAGCGGCGAAGGCGGCACUCUGGGCUGGUACUGACGCUGAGGAGCGAAAGCGUGGGUAGCAAACAGG
rnacentral:rRNA from 1 species